rnacentral:tRNA from 1 species
UAGGUUGUAGCCUAAUGAAAAGGUGUUUGGCCGUUAACCAGGAGAUAGCAAGAUCAAAACUUGUCAACUUAG